UAUUUACGAUCCUAUGGCUCAAAAGUGAUGUUUAAGCAUGCUUCAAACUUCAGUUCACACUCAUAUGUUGAUAUCUCAGAGGGUGUUGUUUCCACUCUCCCCUUGAACAAAUCAGAAACAAAACUGAGAAGGAGAGGUGGAGAAAUCUUGAGUUUUUCUAUUACACUUUGUAGAUCUCAGAAAGUUAGUUUAGAAACCAUGUCUACAUCUGAAACACACCUUCGGUUAUCUAUCUUGAGGUUUUUGUUCCACCAUUUCCUUCGGUUUCAAAGUUUGAGAGAAAUAACAAAAUGGGUUUUGAUGGUUUCAUCCAGCUAUUUCUCCCUGUAUCAUGUAAUUAGCUCUGGGUUUUUAUUUGUUUUAAUUUCUGGAUAUUUUAAUUUGAGCCUAUUGCAUGCAUUUGUUUGACAUUUGUGGAAUUGUUCUAUCUGAUCACAAGAGAUUCCAAUUAGUUUUUUGUGACCUAAGUAUUCCACACUUGGGAACAAAUCAAUCAACUCCAUUCCUCUAUUUGUACUUCUAUUGGUCCAGAGGGAAUCAAAGCAACUUUUGAUCAUAACAACUUCAAAAUCUACAUGGGUUGUACUAAUAAAUGUUACCAGGUAUUUCUUUUCUUUUGUUUUUUCUUAAUAGCGUUUCUGUUAUUAUUGUUACCGUGAUGGAUUUAUGAGAUUGUUUUUGUACGUGAUACUUGAAGACGAAUUUGGAUGGACAAAUUUCUGUUGGGUAUCAUAUAUUAAUAGGUUUUGAAUAUGACUUAGGAGUGCUUUUAAUCUGUUUGGUAAAAGGUUCAAACCAAGGGAAAGAACUGGAGACUGCUAAUUGACCUUAGAACUUGAAUUCCAACCUAAUUAAUAUGACUACAUGAACCCCGUUAUUUGUAGAAGCUUGCUGCAUCUACGCGUUAAGUCAAUGGUUAUAGGUUGUGGUUUUGCGGGUAUUUCAGCCUCUCGCGCUUUAAUGUGCCUCUAUUCAGGUAUGAAUUGUCUGGGUUCAUUAUUUGGAUUGUUACUCCCAGUGUUUUUGUCAUGUUGUGCCGCACCGUCAUGUCAACUAGAAACACCUGGAAAUGGUUUACACUGUUGGUCUUUUUCGUUUUAACUUUCCUGUCAUGAUAUCUUUCACUUUGUUCUAUUGCCAUCAUGUGAUAAGCUUGGUGGCCGUGUCUAUAAUAACUAGUCACAUGGUUUCCUGUUCACACAGGUGCAUCAUGGUAUGAUUCUUUUUCUCUCUUAUGUGUAAGUGACCCUAAGGCUUUAUAGUUAUAAUAACAAUUAUUAGAUCAGUUCUCAUUCCACUUCUGGUUGCGCGUACUCUGCAAGUUAUAUCAGGUCUGACUCGACAUGCUGAUCAAACAGUGGCAUUGUGCCUAUGACCAAUGGAGACAGAAGAUGUAACUUAGAGGUUUCUAUAUCCUUCACGCUUCACCUGAAUUAGAUACAUAUAUAGAUUCUCCCUAUAUAGCAAUUUUUAUGUUUUAGAUUUAAGUGAAUCAAUCGAUCAAUAUAUAUACUGCCUUAUGUUCAAUUGAUACUUUUCAGUGAGAUCGGACUCGGAGAGAUAAUUGGAUUAAGAUUUGUCCCCUUUGGGAGUGGAUUGUACAGUCCUGACUUAUUUAUUUUGGAAUUUUUGGAUUCAUAUGAAAUAUUCACCCCAAAUUUUAUUAACAUGUUUAAGGUGUUCUUUAGUAUUGGUCUUUGUAAGAUUUAGUUUGAACACGUUUUGUCACUCAUUGUGAAUUUCAGAAACUAAUGCGUGCUAUUCGAUCCUAUUGUGUUUGAAUAUAAGAUAUUUUAUUUUAAGAAACAAAUCUUGUCGAUGUUGUUUGCUUAGUUUGAUCAGACUGAUUAGGACCAGAUAGAAUUGAUCGUAGAGAUCUACUUGAACUUCGACAUCCAAAAGGAAUAUAUCCUUGACCCACUCUCAUUGAGAAUACAGAUGGUAUUGCAACAUUUAUUGAGAUGACAAAAAAAUUUCUUUAACUGAUACCAAUUGUGUAGUUGAUGUUUUUAAUCAAUCUAGAUCUUUACACUGCAUGAUAGCCGGAUAAGUAUGGCGGCUCCAAUUCCAGAACAACCACUUUUUAUCGUUCCUGCGCAGUCUCCAUGGUGUGUGCAAGGCAGGUCGUGGAGUAGAUUAAGGUGAAAAAUCACAUGUUGAGUUGUUCCAUUCUUGCAAUGUCUAUCAAAACAUACAUACUCACUUUCUCAAGUUCUUGGGUUGCAAACCUAUGACGAGCAUUAAAUGUUUGUUGUUUACUCAAUUCAUUUACGUAUCCAUCUUCUUUAUGAUUAACGUUGUUGCUGUGGAUGUCUUUGCACUAAUACUACUAUAUUGUAGUUAGAAUGAAAAACAGAAUAGCACAAAGAUUCUCAGCCCUUUCAACACGUGUUCACAGACUAGGAACACUUGACAUGCAUUUCUGUCCUUCGUUUAAAUUCUAAUUGAUUUACAUGUCAAGAAUUGGGGUUCGUAUGCUUAUUCGUAUGUUGUUUCUUUUAUCAUGUUCUUGAUUACUCGAAUGUAACCCUGAUAUAAACCAUCCAUCUUCCAUAAUAUGCCCAUCUGCUCAUUUAUUAGUUGAGUUAAUCAAAGUGCUUUCGAUAUCUUGAAGUUCAACUAUAUAAAACCUCUUGAUUUAUGUUUCACUUCCACUGUUGCAUCUACUCCUUAUGUAACCGCAUCUUUUGUUUACAAUCUAAGCAUCCGUUCUUGGUUUUAUCUCGGUUGUUCGCAUAGUUCCAGAUGAUUCGAAUGGGUUUCCCAGAUUUACUGCAAUCCCUCUAAAAGGCUUCCAGGGCUGCAACACCACCUACAAGACCUUGGACCAGCUUCCCGAGUUGGUGAAGAGUAUACCAUGGGAGACUCAAGUAUGGAUAUUCAGAAAAAUGGAAAAAAUUGGAUUUGAUGUGAAACAACGAUAUCACCAGCUUGGAUAUUCUGUUUCUUGGCGAAAAUAUGAGUUUUCCCUCAAUCCUAUUAUUAAAUUUGGGUUGCACCAUUUAUUUACAUUCCUGAAAUAAUAUAAUAAUCGAUUUUCCAUGGGGUGAAAAUUCGAGGUCCACUAGCAUUGGCGUGGUGAAGUUACCUAACACAAAACGCACCACCUCCACUUGAUUCUUGGAACAUUCAAGCGUUAAAAUACCUCUCAUUCUGAUGAUGAUCAAAAUCAACCCAACAAAAUGACUUGCCUUCAAGAAGUUGGUGACGACACAUCCAUGUCUAUCUUUGGCGAAGUAUGAUUCCCGUGUAGUAACUCAUCUUUAGUGAUACGGCAACCACACUGCAGAUGUGAACUGCUAGAACUUUGAAGCAGGAUUCUCUAUAUAACAUUCUUUUAUGUUCAAUUUUGAAUCUUAUUCAACCUUUUUAACCAUUUUUCUAUUACUGGAUUUAUGGCUUUAUGCUCUAUAAAUUUGUACCAAGAUUUUUCAAUAUUUUGUUCAGAUGUGUUUGUUUA